rnacentral:rRNA from 1 species
UACGUAGGCAGCAAGCGUUGUUCGGAAUUACUGGGCGUAAAGAGUGUGUAGGCGGUGCCCUAAGUUUGGUGUGAAAUCUCCCGGCUCAACUGGGAGGGUGCAUCGAAAACUGGGGUGCUCGAGGGUGGGAGAGGUAAGCGGAAUUCCUGGUGUAGCGGUGAAAUGCGUAGAUAUCAGGAGGAACACCUGUGGUGUAGACAGCUUACUGGACCACUUCUGACGCUGAGACGCGAAAGCGUGGGUAGCAAACAGG